AGCGAACGCUGGCGGCAGGCCUAACACAUGCAAGUCGAACGAACCUUUCGGGGUUAGUGGCGGACGGGUGAGUAACACGUGGGAACGUGCCUUUAGGUUCGGAAUAACUCAGGGAAACUUGUGCUAAUACCGAAUGUGCCCUUCGGGGGAAAGAUUUAUCGCCUUUAGAGCGGCCCGCGUCUGAUUAGCUAGUUGGUUGAGGUAAUGGCUCACCAAGGCGACGAUCAGUAGCUGGUCUGAGAGGAUGAUCAGCCACAUUGGGACUGAGACACGGCCCAAACUCCUACGGUAAGCAGCAGUGGGGAAUCUUGCGCAAUGGGCGAAAGCCUGACGCAGCCAUGCCGCGUGAAUGAUGAAGGUCUUAGGAUUGUAAAAUUCUUUCACCGGGGACGAUAAUGACGGUACCCGGAGAAGAAGCCCCGGCUAACUUCGUG
rnacentral:rRNA from 1 species